CCCAUAACUGCACUUGACUAGGUCUUUGUUGGCUGAUGCAACUCAGUGGUGAGCUGAUACUAAACCCCAGGUCUGCAAUUAGGAUGGUUCUGUGCAUGAAUGGCACUGUUCUGAAAUUUGAAAAGGU
rnacentral:snoRNA from 1 species